GACAGAGGGUGCAAACGUUGUUCGGAAUUACUGGGCGUAAAGCGCGUGUAGGCGGCAGGGCAUGUCGGAUGUGAAAUCCCGUGGCUCAACCACGGAAGUGCACCCGAAACUGCCCAGCUUGAGUCUCGGAGAGGAAGGCGGAAUGCUUGGUGUAGAGGUGAAAUUCGUAGAUAUCAAGCGGAACACCGGUGGCGAAGGCGGGUCUCUGGGCCGAUACUGACGCUGAGGAGCGAAAGCGUGGGGAGCGAACAGG
rnacentral:rRNA from 1 species